rnacentral:snRNA from 1 species
UAAGUCCAUCUUAAAAGUUAUUUUACUUUAAUUGGAACAAUAUAGAGAUUAGCAUGCUCCUGUGUAAGGAUGACAUGCAAAUUCAUGAAGCAUUCCAUUAAAAA